CUACCUGAGCAGCUGGGAUAAUGAGUACCCACCUGUGCUCCCGGCAAGCUCGGGGCUAUCUGCCCGCCCCCAACAGCUGGGUUUAAUCGCCUUCAACCACCAGCUAGGCCACCGAGAUGGUUGGUGGUAGCUGGGUUCUCCUCGGUCGUACGUCCUAUGCCCAUAUUUCAUGGUUCUGCGUUGUCUCCAAGGAUUCAUGGCCCCUGAAGGAGGAAGAUACCGGUAGAUGACCAACCAACUCUCGGGGCCAAACAGGUUCCUAUAAACCGGUUGGGACAACCAACAACUCUCUCUACCCAUUAUUCUUUUUGGUUGGUAAAAUUGGUCAAAGCGACAUGUCAUUGGAAAACAAGCAUUUUCAAAUGAAGGCAUAGAACAAUCCUUUUUUUGGUCUUUGGAAUGUUUAGAGACGGAAACGCAAUUGAAAUUGGGCCCAUCAGAAAACUCCAUCAUUUCUUGUCCUUUCAAGCGAGGUUUUGAUGGGCAAAUCGUCGCACCCCUCAGACAAUAGUAACCUUUGUUUUACAGUAUAUAGUGGCGACUGGCUGGCUGAAAGAUCUUUGUUAUGGUCGACUGACCCUUCAAACUUUGGAAGUCCACUCCAUUCGUUAACCCCAAUAAUCCCAACUAGCGGGAACUGCCUCCUCAAUAUUGUCGACAAAAAAGCUGUUUUCGAGAUGAACUUGUUGCUGGGACUUGAGCCCAGCCAGGAUUUACGACAACAAGCCACCUGUUUCCCUCAUCUCGCCACUUUGUUCCCAUCAAGGGAAUCAAUCCACUGCAUUCAACCUCCAUUGGCACUACCAACAGCCAGAACAUUCAUCUCAUGUAUCUACCCAAACAUCCUAGUCCUUGGCGAUACAUUCUUUUAAAUGUAUUUAAAGUUGUUCAUUUUAGGCAAAGAAUUUCUCAGUGAGGGAUUCCCUGAAUGUAGUCACUAAUCCCUCACAAUUCGCCAGUAAUCCCCUUACGAAAUACAGACUGCUUGGCGAGUCCUAGCUCUAGAGCUCAGGAAUUCCUUCGUUCGUUCGUUACGGAGCUACGACAAACGACAGCUUCGUUGUAAAUCUUGAAUAGCACUCUGAUGCCAAACUGUCUGGUGAGUCUUGAACGCACUCACUGCCAUUUGUGUACAUCUACUCAUCGACCACGGAUCCUCCUAGGACCGAGAAUGUCGUACAGUUCAACACGGAGGUACAG